rnacentral:rRNA from 1 species
GAUGAACGCUGGCGGCGUGCCUAAUACAUGCAAGUCGAGCGAACAGACGAGGAGCUUGCUCCUCUGACGUUAGCGGCGCACGGGUGAGUAACACGUGUAUAACCCACCUAUAAGACUGGGAUCACUUCGGGAAACCGGCGCUAAUCCCGGAUAAUAUCUUGCACCGCAUGGUUCAUUAGUGAAUGUCGGUUUUGCUGUCUCUUCUAGCUGGAUCCGCGCCGCAUUAGCUAGUUGGUACGGUAACGGCUUACCAAGGCAACGAUGCGUUGCCGACGUGCGAGGGGGAUCGGCCACACGGGAGCGUAAACACGGUCCAGGCGCCUGCGGGAGGCAGCAGAAGGGUAUGGUCCGCAAUAGGCGAAAGCCUGACAGAGCGACGCCGCGUGAGUUAUGAAGAUCUUCGGAGCGUAAAACUCUGUUAUGAGUGAAGAACAAAUGUGUAAGUAACUAUGCACGUCUUGACGGUACCGAAUCAGAAAGCCACGGCUAACUACGUG